GUGUUGGUGGUAGAGUGGUGAGCACAGUUACCUUCCAAGCAGUUGACCUGGGUUCAAUACCCGGACAAUGUA
rnacentral:tRNA from 1 species